UAUAAGAAAAGCAAAUUAAAACAAUCCUUCACUCAUUCCUCAGACUAGAGCAGCCAUGAAUACUCAGUGCCCAUCCCUCCAAGUGCUCAGUCUCCCUCCUGCAGCUCUGUCUUCUUCACAUAUUGGAGUUUGUAAGCAAGCUGCAAAUACACCACACAUAUGAGUCUGUCAAAUAUUUCUUAAACUUAUUUUAUCUUGUGCAGUAUCUCCAUGUCUUCUUCCCUCAGACAGACAGGCAGACAGGCAGGCAGCCAGGAAGACAGGCAGGAAGACAGGAAGACAGGUAGACAGACAGGGAGACAGACAGGCAGGCAGGCAGGAAGACAGACAGGCACACAGGAAGACAGGCAGGCAGCCCUGUGCAGGUACAGCCACUGCCCCAGUGUGAAUGCUUAGUUGUGCAGAGCACCAUGGGGCGCUGUGUGGUUUCCCAGCGUUGCUGUUGCUGUCUAAGCAAUGGGUGGUGAAUCCUCAGCUGCGCCUGGACAUCUUGUCUGGCUACCGCUGAGGUAAAAUUCCUCAGGUGGAGUCACUGAGAACUCCCUCAUUUUACACGUGGAAACCAGGGCCCAACUCCGUCGUGUGACUCGCCCACUUCCACACAUGGCCUGGGUGCUGGCACUGGCUUCUAGUCGUCCUGGGAACUGCACAACAUGCAUUUUCCGAGCUCCUUUUGGGUCUUCCAGGAGCCCAGCUUUGGCCGAGGACUGGCGGUAACCAUGCUGCACUGCCCUGCAUCUGUUAGAGUGGACUUCUCCCUGCUUCCUCCUUUCUCCUGUCUCUGGAGGAGACAUCUGGACCUCAGGAAGGGAGAGGAUGAGCCGCUGCCCACCGCCCCAGCUCCGCACUCCUGUGAGGCUUGUGGGCUCGGGUUCUGCGGGUUACAAAUCGCGGCAGUCUGGGCAGGACACACCGUGGCAGAGUCCUGUAGAACUGUGACCAAGCCAGGACCUCGGGACAUCAGCCUGGCUGUGGGAGUGCUGGGAAGGGCAGACCCAGGCGGCCUGCACCGGUGGGGCAGGGGAAGAGGGAGCUGGGGAGUGCUGACAGGGAGGGAGGAACACACUGGGGCAACAGGAGGGGCAAAGAGAAAGCUUCGGGCAGCAGGUGGAGACAGCUUUGCCCCCGUGUGUGACUGCAUUCCCUGCAGUUGGCUCUGGAUUUGCCUUUGAUGUGAGUCACACCUGCCAGGUGCCACCUGUCCCUCCAGGGAAGACCAGAGGCGAAUGCCAGAGAGUCACUAACCAGGAGAGACGGGCAGGAGUAAGCAACAGCACCCUCGCCGCUUUGAAAUGCAGACGAGGGUGUCCAGGUGGAAGGGCAGAGCCGAUGCAGAGGAGGGGAUGCUCAGGGGCACCCCGCUCCCCCUCGGGAGGAGAACCUCAGCCUCGGGAAGCUGGCUGUCAAUGCUGUUUCUUCCUGGGUGCGGGCUUUUGAGCCUUUACCGUGUGCCGGGCACUUGAGCCUGAAGGAGAAACAGAGGCUGCUCUGGGAGCAUCUGGAAUACAAAUGCAGCCAGGGUGGGGCCAGCUCCCCUGUUGGCGCUGGCAUUGCGGGCAGGGCCGACGUGGGCAUCGCCAAGGGGCCAGAAGCAUGGGUGGUGCUGCGGGCUGUGUCCCGUGGCAGGUGGCCCAGCGGGGCACACGGCAGGCGUCCACUGCACGCCUGGCCCCAGGGCUGGUGUGGGACAGCUGCUGAGGCUGUGACAGCAGACAGCAGGGCCACCGGUGGGCACAGGGCACGGCUGCUCCGCCCAGUGCCUGUCCUGCUCCAGCUGCAACCGCUGCCCGCACGAGUCCUGUGGCACGGCACUUCCCGACUCACAUCCAGCUGACCAGCCUGGGCCACAGCCCCACCGUGCGGAAACCACGGCCAGGCACAGCAAGGUGUGCCGAGGGGGAGCAGGGAAGAGGAGACCUCGGCCUGGAGGCCGCAGCUCGGGGAGUGGCCAAGCGUCACAGGCCCGGAGGCGAGGCCGUGUGAGGAGAACAGCGGACUGCUGGGCUGGGAAAGGCGCCCAGACAGUGAGGGAGUGGCUGGCGGCCAGAAAGGCUGCACUGACGACCCGCAGAGAGGCUGAGCAGUGAGAGGCCGGGCCGGCCAGUCCCAGGCAGCGUGGGUGUGGGCGGAGGGGCAGAAGUGGCUCCCACCCCCUCCGCUCCCCGCCUCCCUCCUGCCCCCCCCGCCCCGUCUCUGGGGAUCCCU
rnacentral:lncRNA from 1 species